CUUUUGUUUGCUUGUGUUUCCAUUUGACGGGACUGAAAAUUUUAGGUGCCAGUGCCUUCACGCUUGCAAUAACCGUUACGAUAGCGGCUUUUUGUUCCCUGCUGCAGAGGGGCAGCUCUCACUGAGAACAGAGAGGUAGUAUCUCCUCCUCUGUCCUUAGCGCUUCAGCUCCCAGACAGAAAUUAACCCCCUCGCUGUAACGAGCAGACUGGCAAGGUGGUGGGCCCUUCUGAAAGGUCAUAGCUCUUCCUGGCUUUUCACGAUCCAAGGGCUGGGAUAAUGGGAAACCCCCUCCAUGCUCCGUGUGAAGGGACGACCUGUUUCUGUUUCAGCUGGAGUAAAUCACAGACGGGCAGUUUUGGACUGUGUGCUUCUCUCGGUGUGUGCUGGCUUGUACAGGAGAACAUCUGUGCCCCAUUAACAUUGGAUCGCAGACUGCAAAGCCAGCUUUGGAGCCAAGCCUGAAGCACGGCUGGGGCAAAUCGGUCAUUCACUUCUCCGGGAGUUUGGCAUUGCUGUUCUCUAGUAUUUUAUCGGCAUAUUUAUUUUUGUUAUAGUAGCACUUCAGGACUUCGAAAAUUGUUACAACAGUAUUUUACUGUGCUUAAGUAAGCUGCUAACACUAGCGUUUCCAAUUUAGAUGUAGUUGAAAUCUUUCUUACUUUUGUGGUGUGUUUUUUCAAUGUUAUCAGUGCAUCUUCCUCCCUCAAAUGCAUCUACAUGCUGCAUCCUUAAUGGCUAAGCUUUUUUCUGACAUACUGCAAUACUUUUCUGACAUACUGCAAUACUAAACUGAUUCUGGUUGCCUUACACCUUUACCAGGCUUAAACACUUGGGGCUAAAAUUUCACGUACCCAUUAUCUGCCUCCAACUGGUUUAUUUUCCUUAUCUUCAGUUGCAGUGAAAAACAGCUCCACUGGACUGAGGUUAAGUAAAACUACAUUUUACCCCUAUUAAAACCUUCUACAGCUAUUGGAGUUGAAAAUUAAACCACAGGGUAACUCUGGCAUGGCUCACACCAUCUCCUUUUCCGCUCCAUCGAGCUUUGCCUGCAGCUGCACCCCAAUGAAAUACCAUGGUCUUAUGAACGCGAUGCAGCCCACAGGACACAACAUGGCUCUCGAAGCGCCACCUUGGCACCAGGGUGCACCCCGCUUUUAUUGACAGGCUGUGAAAUCCUAUUUUACUGGUUUGCUUCUAAACCCACUCAGGCCCAGUGGCUUUUCACAAAGCCAGCGUUUAUUGCACCUGUUUGCUACAAACCGUCCUUUCCGUGGGCAUCCGAUGACCAUGGGCACCACAUAGCUUUGAUCCCUAAGGUGCUAUUUUACAUGGAUCAUUCCUAUUUUUGUGGGGCUCCCUCUCUCCUCAUCAUUCUUGCUGGUGGCCGAGGUGGCUGAGAGGCUGCUGCCUCAGGUUGAGCGCUGGGGUUUUUGCUGGGGAAGUCCUGCGAGGUGGGAGCGGGGGCCCAAGGAGGUGAGUGAGCCCCACAGUCCAAGGGAAGUGGCACGGGUAGGGUGGACACUUGUUUCUGGGACUCGGGGGGAUGUUCUCUCGCCUUCAGAUGUUAUUGGUGCAGUUUAUCACUGUGGUUAUAAAAAAGGCAUGCCCUUGCCUAGGAAUGGUGACAGGCGGGGUUGCACAUUGAAAAAUGAGAGCCCUUUGGGAAAGCACGGUUUUACUGAUGCCUGGUUUGCAGCUGUUUCCCUCAGCUCGUAGAUAGCGUAUUUCUGUGUUAAAUGCUGCCUUUUACUCAGCCCAGGGAUGUGCAAACCGCUUGCAGCAGCGCAGCGCUGCAGGACGGAGGAGUGGCAGAAGCCGGACAUCUCCUCAUGGUACGGCUGCUACAUCGCCACUUGUUUUUAUUGGGUGCGCUCCGGGCGUUGCUUUCUUUUAUUCAUAAUAGCUUAGAAACGCACAUAGCAAUGGCUUAGAAAUCAUUCCAGAGCAAGAGAGUAAAUACGCACGGGUACAAAUCUCAAGGGCAGGAAAAAAUUUAGGAUGCUUUAGUACAGGCACGUCCUUCAGUGACAGGAACUCAAGGCGCACCCCAGAUUUUCUGCUCCCCCCUCUUUCCUGCCUAGGUACCGCGGGGCUCUCAGAGCAGUGUGUCAUGUUUUCUACAUGAUGCCAUCACUUCAAACCGUGCAGUGAACUCAUGGGUUUAGGGAGUCCAGCGUCAUUGUCUCUGAAGCUUUCAAAGCUUCGCUUUAGUUUUAAAUGCCUCUUUAAGCACAGACAAUGCUCCAACAGGCUUGCUGAAACUAAAUGAAGCUUAUAAAGCUUUGAACACUAUUGUGACAUGGUAGGUCCCGCAGGAGACUGCAAAAUCCUGCUGUGUGCAAGGAUCCACCGCGCUUUCAAGUGGAUGCACUGUAUGUGCUAAAAAAUGUAGGCAGAGCAGGGCAAGGAAAGGACAGAGCAUGUCAGCAUAUUUUUUGAAUUACCUAGCAUUUGAUUGAUACCGCAAUGGUGACAUUGCUUUUUAAAACAGAAAAAGUUUACCGUCCUUUCUUCUUUAGCACACAAAGUAGUUUGGGAUGUAUACGUAUAUAUGUGUGCGUGUGUGUAUGUAUACUGUUAUCUUAUUUGAGGUUCCAGAGCAAGUGGUGCUUUUUUAAGAGAUCACGUAACCAUAUUAUUUUUUUGUCUUUCAUAAGCUGCAUUAUUAAAAUAACUUAACAUUGUCCUACA